GACGGUUCUCAGGUGACGCAUCCCGGAAUCGGGCUCCCUCCUCUCUGGUUCCAGGUGCGUCACCCAAGAACCACA
rfam:Myotis lucifugus cont2.18196, whole genome shotgun sequence.